rnacentral:rRNA from 1 species
AUUGAACGCUGGCGGCAGGCUUAACACAUGCAAGUCGAGCGGAGAUGAGGUGCUUGCACCUUAUCUUAGCGGCGGACUGGUGAGUAAUGCUUAGGAAUCUGCCUAUUAGUGGGGGACAACAUUCCGAAAGGAAUGCUAAUACCGCAUACGCCCUACGGGGGAAAGCAGGGGAUCUUCGGACCUUGCGCUAAUAGAUGAGCCUAAGUCGGAUUAGCUAGUUGGUGGGGUAAAGGCCUACCAAGGCGACGAUCUGUAGCGGGUCUGAGAGGAUGAUCCGCCACACUGGGACUGGGACACGGCCCAGACUCCUACGGGAGGCAGCAGUGGGGAAUAUUGGACAAUGGGCGGAAGCCUGAUCCAGCCAUGCCGCGUGUGUGAAGAAGGCCUUUUGGUUGUAAAGCACUUUAAGCGAGGAGGAGGCUACCAGGAUUAAUACUCUAGGAUAGUGGACGUUACUCGCAGAAUAAGCACCGGCUAACUCUGUGCCAGCCGCCGCCGUAACAC